AAAGACAACCACAAAAAUCACUACUCCAGUUAACCUGUAUUCAUAUAAGUUUAAGGUCACACUAUAUCUUAACUAAGGUGUAGUAAUUUGUCCUCCUAAGACACUUGGUCACCAUGAUCUAUGAUUAAGAUCAUCGUUGUCACGUCCACAUGACCUGUAUAGAUUGGACUCACGUUAGUUUUUUAGGGCACAACACUAUAAUGCUGCCCUCCCAAUUACUCCUUUUGUUUAUGACCCACUUUGAGUUUCAUAUUGGUGAUUUUGUGGUUAUGACUACUUAUAUAAGGAGGUAAGUAAUAGUCAAAGUUGAUGUCAUCAACACAGGUGGGAAUCAAGAAAGUCGUUUGCGCCAGAUAAUAUCGGGUAUAUGUAUGUAUCUUGCGAGGUUAGUCAUGCAUGUAUAUGCAUGAUUACGUUAUGUAAUUUACAUGAAGGCACGCUUGCAUGCAGUGACUGCACAUAUGGAACCGUUCACACGUACGCAUACUUUUUAAUCUGUUUCUUGACGGACCAACUCAUCCCUUUGAUCAAAGACCGACUACGCUAUAACAUGGUGCAUGUUCGGUGAAUCUAGAUCGCUUAAGUGGUGGGCUUACUUUGAUGGAUACAGGUAGGGAAAAAAAAAAGGCCACAUAGAUAGGAAUGCUUGUUUGGCUAUCGCAUCUCGCAAGUGGCAUGGGAGUGAGCUCAAAGCCGCUCAUCAGGGCAUUUUCAUAGUCGGCAGCAACAGGUGAUUGUGGAAGAUCUAUUGCACAUGUGACUUAAAACCCUUCAUCCAUCUAAUAAACGUAAGCAAUCACGCCUGGCAGCCCAAGAUAGGGAGAUGGUACAGUAGAACGAGAAGAACUAGCAUGCGGUUGAGCCAACGAUCUCGUUAGACCUACCAUGGAUGGAAAUUAAUUUGAGAUUGCAAAGAUUGGAUGAUCAUACCUAUAAAGUUAGUGGCCUAUGCAUUAUUGAUGGUGAAAAAGAAAAUCAGUUUAACAGUCAACAUCAAGCGUUGGAAAAUAAGGGCAAGUUGAGUAGAAUGGAUUUUAAAGUUUAGUUUUUAAACCUUAAAUUUCAAACUUUGGGUGUUCAAAUAUGUUUGGCAACCUAGAUUUCAAAUUCCUAAAUUCAGUAUUUGUGUUUUGCAGUUUGGAUCUUUACUUUAAAAUUUUUCUAGAAUUAAUCUGAAAACAUUCACAGGAUAAUGAAUAUAAUGAACUAAAUUGUCUCAAAUAUUUUAACAUAACUUAUGUAAGAUAAUCACUAUAUUGAGCAUAUUGUAAGAUAGCCUCAACUUAAAAAUAAGAUAUAUAUAAGUAUCAAGUGGUCCAAAAAAAGUAAAAGUGAUUUGGGUAGGUGGCAGUAACCAAAUCUUCCAACCUACUUCAGAGCUUCUCCUAGAGGCAAGAGAAAAUUCGGUUAUGGACAAAAUGGGUAUAUGUAAUAUUUAUUUAUCCUUAUCAUCAUCAAUGAAGGAGGCUCUUUUUUU